rnacentral:rRNA from 1 species
CAGUCGCCGCGGAAUACGGAGGGAGCUAGCGUUGUUCGGAAUUACUGGGCGUAAAGCGCACGUAGGCGGCUUUGUAAGUUAGAGGUGAAAGCCUGGAGCUCAACUCCAGAAUUGCCUUUAAGACUGCAUCGCUUGAAUCCAGGAGAGGUGAGUGGAAUUCCGAGUGUAGAGGUGAAAUUCGUAGAUAUUCGGAAGAACACCAGUGGCGAAGGCGGCUCACUGGACUGGUAUUGACGCUGAGGUGCGAAAGCGUGGGGAGCAAACAGGAUUAGAUACCCGAGUAGUCCCUGUCUCUUAUACA